GUCUGGCGCUGCUCCAACAUGGCGAGCAGCUCUGAGAUUUUCAGCUGGAGACUCUUCUCUGUGGACGAGUUGGUGCUGCUGACCUGCGUCUGAAUCGUCGCUAUCUGGGACUGCAGGGAGGACAGAGACAGAUGAGGGACGACUACGCUGCUGUGUUUUCCUGCCUAAACCAGGAUGGCGCCACCACGAAGAAGACUGCGGGCGCACUUAUACGUCAGCUGUGAGUCCACGCAGAGCUGAACGCUGAUCCAGAUGUGAAGCUGAUGUGGGAGGGUGUGGCGCUCUUACCCGCAGGUCCUCGGACAUGUGGAGGAGCUCCUCUCUCAGACUGCUGAAGGUGGACAGCAGGAGACGCAUGGUCUUGUCUGCAGUGAGACGAGUCUGACCGAGAAGCACACACACAGGGUCCAGAGCCACAUGUUAAACCCUGCCUCUCUGGAUACUGCUUUACAUACGUAUACAAUAUGUGUGUGAAUUAUGUGUAAUUAUGUGCACAUGUGUAGGAGCAGUUAAUAAAAGCUUUACAACUCAAUGUAA